GACGAACGCUGGCGGCGUGCUUAACACAUGCAAGUCGAACGGAAAGGCCCUGCUUUUGUGGGGUGCUCGAGUGGCGAACGGGUGAGUAACACGUGAGUAACCUGCCCUUGACUUUGGGAUAACUUCAGGAAACUGGGGCUAAUACCGGAUAGGAGCUCCUGCUGCAUGGUGGGGGUUGGAAAGUUUCGGCGGUUGGGGAUGGACUCGGGGCUUAUCAGCUUGUUGGUGGGGUAGUGGCUUACCAAGGGUUUGGCGGGUAGCCGGCCUGAGAGGGUGACCGGGCCCAAUGGGCCUGAGGGAGGGCCCAGACGCCUACGGGGGGCAACAGGGGGGAAAAUGUCACAACGGUGCGGAGGCUGUUGAAACAACCUCCGGGUCGGGAAGGACGCCUUUCGGGUAGAAACCGGCUUCGGCUAGUAACGAGCGGUGAUGACGGUAAAUGGUAAAGAAGCACCGGCUAACUACGUG
rnacentral:rRNA from 1 species